rnacentral:rRNA from 1 species
AGAUGGGUUCUAUUCCCAAACCGUGUCUACAUACCUUUGUUGCUUUGGCAGGCCGCCUCCGGGCGUCGGCUCCGGCUGACUUGUGCCUGCCAGAGGACCCAAACUCUGUGUUUAGUGAUGUCUGAGUACUAUAUAAUAGUUAAAACUUUCAACAACGGAUCUCUUGGUUCUGGCAUCGAUGAAGAACGCAGCGAAAUGCGAUAAGUAAUGUGAAUUGCAGAAUUCAGUGAAUCAUCGAAUCUUUGAACGCACAUUGCGCCCCUUGGUAUUCCGAGGGGCAUGCCUGUUCGAGCGUCAUUAUGACCACUCAAGCCUAGCUUGGUAUUGGGGUGCGCGUGCUCGCGGCCCUUAAAAUCAGUGGCGGUGCCGUCUGGCUCUAAGCGUAGUAAUUUCUCUCGCUACAGGGUCCGGGCGGUUGCUUGCCAAAACCCCUUAUUUUCUUAGGUUGACCUCGGAUCAGGUAGGGAUACCCGCUGAACUUAAGCAUAUCAAUAA